rnacentral:misc_RNA from 1 species
AUAAACUAAACCUGAAACACAACACAAAACGAUCAACUUUCAAAGAAUAAACUUCAAACUCAAACUAUGUUAUGGUUGUCACAAUGACCACAAAAUGCAGUAUGAAAUUAAAUGAACGGAAAAAUAAGUAUGAUAAUUGCACAUAAAGAAAUUAAAUACGCUAAGCAAUCCAGGCCCAAGUCUUCAAGCGCAAUUUGACAUCUAAUUA